rfam:Fibrobacter sp. TWOS genome assembly, contig: Ga0136287_111
GGCAUGUUCGUCUAGUGGUCCAGGACGCUGGCCUCUCACGCCGGUAACAAGGGUUCGAGUCCCUUACAUGCUA